rnacentral:rRNA from 1 species
GCGUUGUUCGGAAUUAUUGGGCGUAAAGCGCGUGUAGGCGGCUUUGUAAGUCGGGUGUGAAAGCCCUCAGCUCAACUGAGGAAGUGCGCCCGAAACUACUUUGCUUGAGUGCCGGAGAGGAUGGCGGAAUUCCCCAAGUAGAGGUGAAAUUCGUAGAUAUGGGGAGGAACACCGGUGGCGAAGGCGGCCAUCUGGACGGUAACUGACGCUGAGACGCGAAAGCGUG